GCGGGUGUAGUUCAAUGGUAGAACUUCAGCCUUCCAAGCUGAUAGCAGGGGUUCGAUUCCCCUUACCCGCU
rnacentral:tRNA from 3 species